AAAAAAAUCUACUUUUUUUUUAAGGAUAAGUAUAUCCCAUGCAUUAUUUGGGAGAUACUUAGGCUAAAACAUGACUUGUGGCUUAUCUGAUACUCUAAUUUGACUGGGUGUCUUGUGU
rnacentral:miRNA from 1 species